rnacentral:rRNA from 1 species
UACGUAGGGUGCAAGCGUUAAUCGGAAUUACUGGGCGUAAAGGGCGCGUAGGCGGCCGCCUAAGUCAGACGUGAAAUCCCUCGGCUCAACCGGGGAACUGCGUCUGAUACUGGGUGGCUUGAAUCCGGGAGAGGGAUGCGGAAUUCCAGGUGUAGCGGUGAAAUGCGUAGAUAUCUGGAGGAACACCGGUGGCGAAGGCGGCAUCCUGGACCGGCAUUGACGCUGAGGCGCGAAAGCCAGGGGAGCAAACGGG